UGGCGAACGGGUGAGUAACACGUGGGUGAUCUGCCCUGCACUUCGGGAUAAGCCUGGGAAACUGGGUCUAAUACCGGAUAGGAGCCAUUUUUAGUGUGAUGGUUGGAAAGUUUUUUCGGUGUAGGAUGAGCUCGCGGCCUAUCAGCUUGUUGGUGGAGUAAUGGCCUACCAAGGCGGCGACGGGUAGCCGGCCUGAGAGGGUGGACGGCCACAUUGGGACUGAGAUACGGCCCAG
rnacentral:rRNA from 1 species